ACAUGGAGCAAAUAAAAAUCUUAUAUCGAGAGAAGAAACGAAAUCGAGCCAUCGACCGAAGAAACGAGAUCCGUCGAUACCAAAGAGAAUACUUUAUCGCAAUCGAUCGAUGCCGCGAGUGGUUACACUGCAAGCGCGUAAAUGGCCGCGAGCCUUUAUUUAAUAAGUUGUUAUAAAUUAAAAGGCUACUGCAUAUUAAACCACUCUCGGCAUAUUUAUAAUGAUUCUUAAGAGACUAUACCGAGCGUAUGGAUAUGUAAAUCAACCUUUGCUGCUGUUUCGAUUCCGCUACAUUUCGAUCCUUGUUCGUCUCACUAUAGCAGUAAAGGAUUCUUCGCGAUUUCUUCUCUCUACGCUCUUUUACUUCGUUGCGUUACCGCGCGUCCAUCUUGACUACCGAAUAUUGUGUAAGUGAAUAUAUAUGGCGUUCGUGUAUUUUCGUGUAAGUUCGUGUCCACGUCGCAUCGGGUGAAACCAGAGGUCCGAACUCUACACACGUGCAGACAUGCUUAUGAAUUUAUUUUCGACGAUGAAACGACAAACGGUUUUAAUUGCCGCCCCGGGCUACGUAGAGAUCGCCGCAAGUCUUGUAGGAUCCUCCGUUUCUUCUUUGCCUCGUUAUCUCAUGGUGAAGCCGCACCGAUAAGUGUUUCGACUUUAUCCAUCGUGAUAGAGAUGUGAGAUUCGUAAAAAAAUGCAAAAGAAAAGUAACCAUAGAGAUUCUGAUUCGAAGUCUCAAGGAUACUUGAAGACGAAAAUGGCAAAGAAAUCGCAAACGGCAAUCACGGACUAAGUACUAACCUAAUCAACCAAUCUUCGUUCUGUUCUUCUGUUUCACUACUCCUCGAUUCUUUUACUCAAAGAAGGGAAAUGAUUCGUUAUCCUCGAAUUAUUCUUUCUGUUACAAUUCUUCUUAUCAAAUGAAGUUUAAUAGUUUCAACUAUAGAUCGGUCCACUCUUUCCCGAUUGGAAUGACUUAUGGGCAUGCGGCGUGCUUUUGGUCUCCGCAAGUCUAUCGCGGGAUUAUAGUGAGCCACGCAACUAUAAUAAUCAUUCUCGUGGCGAUUUUAUUUCUCUUCGAUAAUAUUGGAAUUUUGAUUAUGGAGUGUUGGU